UACGUAGGGUGCGAGCGUUAAUCGGAAUUACUGGGCGUAAAGCGUGCGCAGGCGGUUCGUCGUGUCCGAUGUGAAAGCCCCGGGCUCAACCUGGGAAUGGCAUUGGAAACUGGCGGACUCGAGUGUGGCAGAGGGGGGUGGAAUUCCGCGUGUAGCAGUGAAAUGCGUAGAGAUGCGGAGGAACACCGGAUGGCGAAGGGCGGCAGCCC
rnacentral:rRNA from 1 species